UGAGUAUGUCUGGGAACUGCCUGAUGGAGGGGGAUAACUACUGGAAACGGUAGCUAAUACCGCAUAACGUCGCAAGACCAAAGAGGGGGACCUUCGGGCCUCUUGCCAUCGGAUGUGCCCAGAUGGGAUUAGCUAGUAGGUGGGGUAACGGCUCACCUAGGCGACGAUCCCUAGCUGGUCUGAGAGGAUGACCAGCCACACUGGAACUGAGACACGGUCCAGACUCCUACGGGAGGCAGCAGUGGGGAAUAUUGCACAAUGGGCGCAAGCCUGAUGCAGCCAUGCCGCGUGUAUGAAGAAGGCCUUCGGGUUGUAAAGUACUUUCAGCGGGGAGGAAGGGAGUAAAGUUAAUACCUUUGCUCAUUGACGUUACCCGCAGAAGAAGCACCGGCUAACUCCGUGCCAGCAGCCGCGGUAAUACGGAGGGUGCAAGCGUUAAUCGGAAUUACUGGGCGUAAAGCGCACGCAGGCGGUUUGUUAAGUCAGAUGUGAA
rnacentral:rRNA from 1 species